UAUUCUUUCGGGAAACAUCCUUCUCCAGCGCUGCCCGUCAAAAGAGUUCCAAAGAACUCCCUGCUACUAAACGACUGUGAAGAGUAGUAGAAGCAGCAUCGACUACUCCACGGAUUUUUACAACUACUAGCAGUAGCAGGGAGCGAGGGAGCGAUGGGAGAAGAAGGAGUAGAUGAUCCACAGAAAUUGAAGAGAAUAGCGGCGGCGGCGUAUGACUAUGAGAAUGAUCCCAGAUGGGCCGAUUACUGGUCCAACAUCCUCAUUCCUCCCCACAUGGGCUCCCGCUCCGAUGUUGUCCACCAUUUCAAGCGCAAGUUCUACCAGCGUUACAUUGCCUUUUCUUACAGCCCCAUCAACUGUAGUGCACUGCUUUCUUAUCCCUUGCAUUAUGUCAUAUGGUGCCAAAUGAAAUUUAUGGAGGCUCCCUGACCACACGGAGGCCUUUAUCUCUGAAGUUCAUUCAGGAUCCUGGUCUAAUUGUUGAACCAAUGACUCUCAGCAGUUCGUCCCAAGCAGCAAGAUCAUCAGCCCCACAAUCUUCUUCAUCGUCGUCGUCAUCAUCAACUUCUAACAACCAGCCAAGACAACGUAACUCUGGGCCAGCUAGUAGAACUUCUGGAACAUCCACGACUCCAGCUUCAAGUGCAACAUUGCUGCGAUGGAAUCGACAAACUCUACAAUUUUCAGUGAAUGCUUGGGUUCUUGUUGUGGCAGUUCUUGCUAUCUUACCACUUAUACCUGCAAAUCUGUCAAACAGAGCAUUUCGACUGGCCUUUGCAGGAACUGCAUGUUCUUCCCUAUAUUCAUUAUACUCAUUAUAUGGGAAGCCUAGCGCUUGGAAUUUGCAGGCCGUGCAAGUUUGGUUUCAGUCAGUUAUUGUGACGAAAGAUUUUAUCUACUUCAUUUACUGCCUUACUUUUGUCACUUCACAUCUUUACUUGAAAUUUGCUUUGAUUCCUGUUUUAUGCCGAGCACUUGAACAUGUUGCGAAGUUUCUUCGACGCAACUUCAGCACAUCUUCUUUGUACAGGAAAUACUUGGAAGAGGCUUGUGUAUGGAUCGAGUCGAACACAACUACUCUUAGCAUACUGUCUUCACAGGCUGAGAUUGGGCUUGGAUUUCUUCUAGUUGUGUCCCUCUUAUCGUGGCAGCGUAACAUAAUACAAGCUUUCAUGUAUUGGCAGCUAUUGAAGCUUAUGUAUCAAGCUCCUGCUACUGCUGGUUACCAUCAGAACAUGUGGGCUAAGAUCGGGAGGCAUGUAAAUCCUCUGAUUCAAAGAUAUGCUCCAUUCAUGCAUACUCCUAUCUCUACUAUUCAGAGAUGGUGGUUCAGGGGAAUUGGAUGCAGGUUUAGCCAAAAAUAUGGCAUUGGAGAAGAGAACAAAAUCUCGACAUGACAAUUUCAAAGAAACCCAAGUCGAGAAAUCAUUGAAGGAAACAAGACUUCCCAUUGCGGAAAAGAGGAAAAAACAUAUUUCUGAAGCUUCAUCUGUCAAGGGGAAGGAGGUUGAAGCAAGUAAAAGCUCGGAUACACUAGAAGAAAAGGGAAUUAAGCUGUUUGUGAAAAAACAGCCUAUAUUUGCACCACAUAUCAAUGUAUAUACUAACACUGACAUAGUCUCCGAGCUAAACGAAAAUCUUACUCCAGAGCAGUACAAACAACUGGGUGAUACUUGUUUUGGAAAUUUUCUUCAAAUAAAGCGGUGUGAAGUCCAACAUCAACUCUUCAGAUGCUUCAUGGCUCUCCAGUUAGAAGGAAGUACUGACAAUGUAUUUGUAAUACACGCCAAUGGUACUUCAUUAUCUUUCUCAAUAAGGGAGUUUGCGUUUGUGUUGGUAACCUUGCUGAUUUUGAGUUCAAUGAAAAGGUUCCUAACCAGAUUAUUGAGACUUACUUUGGAGGUGUCAAUCUUAUCAAAAAGAAAAAUUUGAUGGAAUGUUUUGCUGACAAGAAUUGGGGUCACGACAAUGAUGGGGAUGCCUUGAAGAUAGUUGUGUUGUAUUUCAUACACUCCUUCAUUUUUUCAUCCGAGAAGAACAACACAACCAUCCCAAGGCUACAUUUUGACUUGGUAGAGAGUGAGCGUUAUUCUGAAUAUCCAUGGGGUUUAAAAGCAUUUGAAAGCCUGAUAAAAUCUAUUAGCAAGAAGAUGGAUGCUCAGAAGAAGUACUACAGGAUAGCUGGGAUGCCCCUAGCAAUGUAAGUGUGGUUUUAUGAGUGUUGUUCAAAUGUUGAUCCCAAAAUUGCACUCCGAGUUGAUAACGUGGUCCCCAGAAUACUCAGUUGGAGAACCACCGGAAAUCAGCGAAACUUUGCUUAUCUGAUGAACGACAUGUUCAAUAACAAAGGGAACAUGGUAAUUUACAAUUUGUAUCGUGGCUAGUUUACAUUUUACUAAUCAUUAAUGUUGCAUACAUUUGCAUACAAUUAUUGCUGCAUACAGUUGAAUACAGUUGUUGUUGCCUUCAUUAU